AUGGGAUUCAUCAAGGUGACAAGCCUAUUAUGCCUACUACUUCUCACACCACUUCUUUUAGUUCCUGGCUCGGAAGCUAAGACCUGCACUUCAUAUAGUAGGACCUAUAUGUCUUUAUUAUGCAAGAAGGAUUCAUGUGUUGAGGCCUGCCAUAAGGAGGGAUUUACGAACGGGUUCUGUUUCGUAUUCCCAGAACCCAUUAUGUUAAUUUGUUUCUGCGAAAAGAUUGUUGAAUAA
rnacentral:rRNA from 1 species